rnacentral:rRNA from 1 species
UACGAAGGGGGCUAGCGUUGCUCGGAAUCACUGGGCGUAAAGCGCACGUAGGCGGAUCUUUAAGUCAGGGGGUGAAAUCCUGGAGCUCAACUCCAGAACUGCCUUUGAUACUGGGGAUCUCGAGUCCGGGAGAGGUGAGUGGAACUCCGAGUGUAGAGGUGAAAUUCGUAGAUAUUCGGAAGAACACCAGUGGCGAAGGCGGCUCACUGGCCCGGUACUGACGCUGAGGUGCGAAAGCGUGGGGAGCAAACA